rnacentral:rRNA from 1 species
CUUAAAUUGAAGAGUUUGAUCAUGGCUCAGAUUGAACGCUGGCGGCAGGCCUAACACAUGCAAGUCGAGCGGUAGCACAGAGAGCUUGCUCUCGGGUGACGAGCGGCGGACGGGUGAGUAAUGUCUGGGAAACUGCCUGAUGGAGGGGGAUAACUACUGGAAACGGUAGCUAAUACCGCAUAACGUCGCAAGACCAAAGUGGGGGACCUUCGGGCCUCAUGCCAUCAGAUGUGCCCAGAUGGGAUUAGCUAGUAGGUGGGGUAACGGCUCACCUAGGCGACGAUCCCUAGCUGGUCUGAGAGGAUGACCAGCCACACUGGAACUGAGACACGGUCCAGACUCCUACGGGAGGCAGCAGUGGGGAAUAUUGCACAAUGGGCGCAAGCCUGAUGCAGCCAUGCCGCGUGUGUGAAGAAGGCCUUCGGGUUGUAAAGCACUUUCAGCGGGGAGGAAGGCGGUGAGGUUAAUAACCUCAUCGAUUGACGUUACCCGCAGAAGAAGCACCGGCUAACUCCGUGCCAGCAGCCGCGGUAAUACGGAGGGUGCAAGCGUUAAUCGGAAUUACUGGGCGUAAAGCGCACGCAGGCGGUCUGUCAAGUCGGAUGUGAAAUCCCCGGGCUCAACCUGGGAACUGCAUUCGAAACUGGCAGGCUAGAGUCUUGUAGAGGGGGGUAGAAUUCCAGGUGUAGCGGUGAAAUGCGUAGAGAUCUGGAGGAAUACCGGUGGCGAAGGCGGCCCCCUGGACAAAGACUGACGCUCAGGUGCGAAAGCGUGGGGAGCAAACAGGAUUAGAUACCCUGGUAGUCCACGCCGUAAACGAUGUCGAUUUGGAGGUUGUGCCCUUGAGGCGUGGCUUCCGGAGCUAACGCGUUAAAUCGACCGCCUGGGGAGUACGGCCGCAAGGUUAAAACUCAAAUGAAUUGACGGGGGCCCGCACAAGCGGUGGAGCAUGUGGUUUAAUUCGAUGCAACGCGAAGAACCUUACCUGGUCUUGACAUCCACAGAACUUUCCAGAGAUGGAUUGGUGCCUUCGGGAACUGUGAGACAGGUGCUGCAUGGCUGUCGUCAGCUCGUGUUGUGAAAUGUUGGGUUAAGUCCCGCAACGAGCGCAACCCUUAUCCUUUGUUGCCAGCGGU